rnacentral:rRNA from 1 species
GAUGAACGCUGGCGGCGUGCCUAAUACAUGCAAGUCGAGCGAACAGACGAGGAGCUUGCUCCUCUGACGUUAGCGGCGGACGGGUGAGUAACACGUAGAUAACCUACCUACAAGACUGGGAUAACUUCGGGAAACCGGAGCUAAUACCGGAUAAUAUAUUGAGCCGCAUGGUUCAACAGUGAAAGACGGUUUUGCUGUCACUUAUAGAUGGAUCCGCGCCGCAUUAGCUAGUUGGUAAGGUAACGGCUUACCAAGGCAACGAUGCGUAGCCGACCUGAGAGGGUGAUCGGCCACACUGGAACUGAGACACGGUCCAGACUCCUACGGGAGGCAGCAGUAGGGAAUCUUCCGCAAUGGGCGAAAGCCUGACGGAGCAACGCCGCGUGAGUGAUGAAGGUCUUCGGAUCGUAAAACUCUGUUAUUAGGGAAGAACAAAUGUGUAAGUAACUAUGCACGUCUUGACGGUACCUAAUCAGAAAGCCACGGCUAACUACGUG